AACGUAGGUGGCAAGCGUUAUCCGGAUUCACUGGGCGUAAAGCGCACGCAGGCGGCGACGUAGGUAGGGCAUGAAACCUCCCGGCUUAACUGGGAGACGCUGUCCUAUACCGCGUCGCUUGAGGCUGGAAGAGGGAAGUGGAAUUGCCGGUGUAGUGGUGAAAUGCGUAGAGAUCGGCAGGAACACCCAGGGGGAAACCAGCCGGCUGGGGACGUGCUGACGCUCAGGGGCGAAAGCGUGGGGAGCGAACCGGG
rnacentral:rRNA from 1 species